rnacentral:lncRNA from 1 species
CUACAACAGCUCAUGGAUAUCCACCUCGUGAAUUACAUAAGGCCUGUGAGGAGGGACAGUGGUCCAGCAAUGCCAGACCUUACUGCAACAAAAUCAGUGGACCAAACCAUAUCUUCACAAACAGGCUUAAUUCUAGUUUUUCCCAGUUUAUUAUGCUACACUCACAACAUGAGUUAAGUUCCUCAAAUGCAGCCAUCAAAAUGCAGGUUCAUCUCCAAGCACACGAACACUGACACAAAAUGCACGUGUAAACUGUUUGAAUGCUUUGCUGGACUGGACCCAGGGACUCAACACCUCACAGUGUGGACUUCUCUUGGGAAGAUGGAGGAUUUGCAACUGAUUUUGGUUCUGUCCUUGAUAAGAUCCCAUCACCACAGUGGAGAGGACCUGCCCCAAGAGCCAGACAGGACUAAGCUUUUUUAAAUGUCACCAGGAUGCAGCUGCAGUAAGUACAAUCAACAAUUUUGAUGGAAUGUUUCUGAUGAUGAAAUUAUUCUUAAGGCUGUGUGUGCACUAUGAUCUGUAGCCUACAAGAGCAUGGAUCUGCUUGAAUGUGCUGCUUGGCAUAGUCAAGACAGCUGUCAGAGGCAGGAUCUCAGCAGGCUACGUUAGCAAUCUUGCAGUGUGGGUGUAAAUCUUUCUACAGCAGAGUUUCUUCACCCAGCAAGUCAGUGUCUUUCAUGGAGUGUCAUGUGGAAAGUUCACCCUAAGCUCCCAAGAAUUCCCACACUGUGUCUCUUGCUAAGAGAAGUAAGUAUACUGGGCUGGAUUUCAAAGGAGACUCCCUCAAAUUGCAGAUAUUUCUUGGGAUGCCCUGUCAUUUAAAUGAAGAUAAAAUGAGUCACUGCAACUUUCUUGCUUCAUUAUGGUAAUUAUUUUGCUUUAAAGCUGAUGUUAUGAAUCAUUUCCUUUUCUAAUUAAAUGUUUCAUUAUUUCAGUUGCUAUAUAGACACAAUGCAGAUUAUAGUCAGGAGACCAAAUCUGUAGCUCUAACCCCAACAGCAUAACACUUCACUCACAUUGGAAGAAACAGAUUUAACUGCACUGUGGUCAUCAGCGGGAGCAGGCAGGCAGUAUCUGGCCAUGAACAUUACUUAUUUGAGAAAGAAUCCAUUUCACUUCAUUUUAGGUGUCUAAGAAUUAAUUUUUAAGUGUAAGAGAAGUAUGUGGGCUGCUGUCCUAGCCCUGUAGAGUCAUUGCAAUGCCUGUGGGGCAUCUUCCAGCUGCAGGGAAGAGGAUGUGUUGCCACUGUUCACAGAAGGAUCUGGGAUCAGAUUUAGUGGAUUAAAUAUCAGAGAGCCACCAUGAGGUAAGAAAAACUCUGUCAUGAUGGCAGGUUGGGGCAAGUGCCUAGAUGUUGGCACAUUUUCACUAAACUCAGCUCCUCAGCCUAAAAAACAACACCUUGGCUUUACCAGGG